rnacentral:rRNA from 1 species
ACACAUGCAAGUCGAACGAGAAAGUGGAGCAAUCCAUGAGUAAAGUGGCGACCGGGUGAGUAACACGUGACUAACCUACCCUCGAGUGGGGAAUAACUCCGGGAAACCGGGGCUAAUACCGCAUAACAUCGCAAGAUCAAAGCAGCAAUGCGCUUGAGGAGGGGGUCGCGGCUGAUUAGCUAGUUGGCGGGGUAACGGCCCACCAAGGCGAAGAUCGGUAUCCGGCCUGAGAGGGCGCACGGACACACUGGAACUGAAACACGGUCCAGACUCCUACGGGAGGCAGCAGUGGGGAAUUUUGCGCAAUGGGGGAAACCCUGACGCAGCAACGCCGCGUGGAGGAUGAAGCCCUUUGGGGCGUAAACUCCUUUCGACUCGGACGAUAAUGACGGUACGAGUGGAAGAAGCACCGGCUAACUCUGUGCCAGCAGCCGCGGUAAUACAGAGGGUGCGAGCGUNGCUCGGAAUUAUUGGGCGUAAAGGGCGCGUAGGCGGUGCGGUAAGUCACCUGUGAAAUCUCCUGGCUUAACUGGGAGCCUGCAGGCGAAGCUACCGUGCUGGAGUGUGGGAAAGGUGCGUGGAAUUCCCGGUGUACCGGUGAAAUGCGUA